UACGAGAGGACCGGGAUGGACAUACCUCUGGUGUACCAGUUGUCGUGCCAACGGCAUAGCUGGGUAGCUAUGUAUGGACGGGAUAAGUGCUGAAAGCAUCUAAGCAUGAAGCCCCCCUCAAGAUGAGAUUUCCCAACUUCGGUUAUAAGAUCCCUCGAAGAUGACGAGGUUAAUAGGUUCGAGGUGGAAGCGUGGUGACACGUGGAGCUGACGAAUACUAAUCGAUCGAAGACUUAAUCAA
rnacentral:rRNA from 1 species